GAGGGUAUAGCUCAGUGGUAGAGUACAUGCCUAGCAUGUACAAGGUCCUGGGUUCAAUCCCCAGUACCUCCA
rnacentral:tRNA from 1 species